ACGCCUUUCCGUGAUUGUUUUUGCAUAACAGACAUCUUUUUCCCUCUCAUGCUAUUUUGUUUCGAUAAGCAUAGUAUCAUAAUUUAUGGUCGCUUUCUAAACAUUAGCAACUGCAAUUUCGCUGACACUCUACUUGUUGCAGGCCGAGAACUCGUGCUUUUUCAGUAAAUUGGAAUACUUAAUACAAAUGCUUGAUGAACUCCAUCCAGCAGCAAUUUAAUUCGAUACUACACUAACGUACGGUGUAUUCUGAUAGCAAAAAAUAAGUAAUAAGUGUGGUAUGUCCCAGCAAAUUGUGCGCUUGUAGGCUAUAAUCAUUCAAUGAUAAGUGAACUGGGGAAAGCAUUUGAUAUCCUGAUGAAAGUAAUAGCCAUAUUGCGUGAAAAUACCGUACAUGUUGAUGUAAUAUCAGUUUACAAAAUAUACAGACUAAAUUUAUGUGUAAUUCAAUAUUGUGCGAUGGUCUUGCUGUGAAAUAAGUGAAUGAUGCAAUAUCAAAGUUGUAUGAAGUGUGACCAAGGGUUUUUGAGAGUUCUGUGUUUUCUAAUGACAAGGGUUCAGACAGUAGACGAAUUUUUCAGCUUCAGCCACAUCAAAAAGUGCUGCGAUCUGCCCAGCCAUUGUUAUAUAAUAAAUUUGAACAUUUAUAUGUAGAUAGAGUGAGAGUUAAAAUAUGAGUAAGACUAGGCCUGGGGGAUAAGCGCUUACUUACGCUCCAAUUUUAUGCUCCCAUCGAUUUGCUUUUAUUGUCCUUUUUGAAUAUAUCUAUCUGAGAAUACGUCUUUAAAAUUGCAAGUUGCCCGAAUAAAAUUUACUGUGAUAUGAUCGUAAAGAGAGAAGAAACCGUUCCGUAAACGACCUGCAUUUGAAAGUUUAAACGCGUUUUUCUAUAAAAUUGUGUGAAAAAUGUACAUUUUUAGAUCAUUCGAUCAAACAGACAAAGAUGAACAAUGAUCAGUUCACCACAAUUUUGGUCACCGCAAAACAUACAAAUAAAAAUACAUUUUUUUUCGACCAUUUGCAACAUAUCGUUAUAAGACUUUCUAAUAAAAAAAGACUGAAAGUUCAAUUUAUAUAAAUAAUAACGAUCGUUAAAAGGGUUUCAUAAUUUUCUUGAAAAAAAAACAUCGUGAAAACGACCUUUUUUCCACAACAAAUGGGGCUAGUCGUUUAAUUCACUUUUUAUUAUCCUUGUUUUCAGUAAUGGUGAGAAUUAUUCGUAUUUCUCGGAAGCAAUUCACCAGAACUCUCAAAGGAUCCAGCAAUUCUUAGUUCUUCACUAUCAUUACGCUGAGUUUGACCGAUUAACUAGGUUACUUGCAAUCGCUUACGUCAUACUAUGGGAAAUACAUUUUUACAAAAAGCCUUAUAGUACCUGAACUUAUAACUUAUGAUCGAGCAAGUCAACUAUAGGAUUGUCUGAAGAAAGGCAUUUUAGAAAAACUAGCUAUGAAAAGAUGUCAUUUUGGAAGUGAGAAACUCAAUUCAAGAAACACAUCAAACAAAUCAUUUUCAGUUUUCGGACUAUAAAAACUACUUAAAUAUCAUCAAAUUCCGAAUAUUCAAAAAUGAUCAUUAACCUUUUUUUGUUGUUUUUCUGUGCGUUAUAUGACUCGGACUAGCAAAUGCAUUUUUAGCGGUAUGUCUCAGGCAACGAGUUAAUGUAUAGAAUUGUUGUGAAAAUUGUUGACGAUUGUUGCACGUUUACAUGAGAGGCCUGAUCGCGGAAAGUAAUGUUGGAGGAUUUUUUUUUGUUCAGGUAAACGAGUGAGAAUAAACUUUUAAAAACCGACAUGUGCAAGGAAGCUUUGUCACCCAAGCGGAGAGCUGCGUUCACUAUCAAAGACGCUGUUAGUACACUUUAUUUCUUAAGUGAAUUCGAAAAGGGUACUAACACUUGCAUUUGAAGAAAUGAAUUAGCAAUAUACUGCAAAUUCAGAAAAUUGAUUCAUAAUUCGAAGAUUCUGCUGUCGCCAAAGGACAAUUCAGAGUUCUGGUUGUCGCUCCACACGAUUGAUGUAAUAAACAGGGCCAACUAGGAUUUUAGAAGAAGAAAUCGGCCAACCAUUCUUUGGUCUUUUCCUCGUUGACAUAUCAUCAGCAUUCCAGUUCAAUGGUGAAAUAUGCAAACUGGAAACCCGGUGAUAAGACCAUGGUCAAGGAUACUAACUACACCGAAGAACCUUCCAAUACAGUAAAUAAUGGAAAAAACCAAAUAAGAAAGUGAACGGAUAUUAUCAUUUCUUCCCAUUCUCAUUUUAUGACUAAUUUGAAGCAACAAGACUAUGCAAACAUCAUAGGGUCUUACAAAAUGUGCAUAUAGUAUUACUUAAUA